GCAGCGUGGAGCUCCUAGACGCUGGAAAGGAAACAGGAAUAUAGCUGCUGCUGGAAGUUCAUGAUGGAUUAUUUAGAUUUCUGAAGCAUAUCUGCUGCUUUGGCUUGAUGGCUCCUUCCAGGAAGAGAAGCUCCAUGAAAAUAUGUUUGUGAUCAGAGACUCCUACGACGUCUGCAGAGACUUUGUGAUGAUUAAAUCCAGAGAGUGUCCAGGAGAGCGUGUUGGGAGUUUGACAUAUUGUUCUGAGACCAAACAGUCCAGAAGUUGAAGGAAUUCAGCUGAUUGAUGAUUGGUGGAAGCAGCAACAUGAAUAUUGAGUGUAUAUUUCCUUCAUUUAUUCUGUUUUUAUAUUAUAAAAGUCUUAGAACACAUGCAGCUGACCUGCUAUUAUAUAGAAAUAGCAACAUUGUGUCAUGUUUUAGGGUUUUUGUUUGAAUAUUCUGGACUGAUCAUGUUCCACUUCUCAGCCAUUAGCCGCCAGUCAUCAUCCAAUCAGAUCAGCCUCCUUCCAGCCAGCAGUCACCUCAUUGGUUCUUCCUGCUGCCUCCACUAAUUGGUCAACUCUCCUCACCUGUCACUCUCCCUGCUUAUUCCUGCCUCACUCAUCCUCUCCCUGCCAGAGCGUCUCGUCUUGUUUCCCCGCCUGCAUGUGAUGUUUGCUCCAGCGGCUUCUUCUCGUUUCUCCUGCUUCUCCCUGGAACCAGUCCUCAUCCUGCCCUCGUUAGUCAGCUUAGUAGUGAUUGUGUGCACCGCCUGGAAGAAGGAUUCCUGCUCCUGUUCUGAUCUGGUUCUGCCUGCUACCCCCACCUGCUUCUUCUGCUCUCCAGCCCAUUCCUGCCUGCCUCGUCUGCCACUACUCUCCCUUUUCUUCAACAAACCUUUUAAAACCAAACUCUGUGUCUGGCUAGAAUAUCAGAUCCCAUUUCUCUGAGCCGGUGUUCCAGACCUGGAGAGGUGGUAGAUGUCCAGGAUGAAAUAAUCCCACUAGUAGAGGAAGAAGAUGCAGCAGUAAUGGUACCUGGACGCUGGAACAUAAAGUCUCCUGACAGAACAAACCAACAUCUGAGGUUUCAGGACUGCAGACUGACUACAGCAGUAGAUAAAAUCAAAUAAACCGGCACCCAGAACUCAAAGUUAUGAACUACUGUAAUCCUGUCUUUCAUUUCACGUUGUGUAAAUACAACAUUGCUCCAGUAGAUGGACUCUUGCACCGCUGUGGGUCAACCAGGGAGACCAGAUGAAGGCUCUCAGCUUGCAGCUCAGAAUAAAGGAGCUCCAGGCUGGGCAACACGCUAAAACCAGUCUGCUCUCUGAUCCACAGUGUUUUCAGGGUUCUGGCUGCUCAGUGCUGCUGAUGCUGGUCCAGAUGUCCUCUAGGUCUGGUGCUGGUACCAUUCACACAACGCCAGCGUCCUCUGCCCCCUGAUCAUGUGGACGGUUUGGUUCCUUCACUGAUGGCGUCACUCAUACAGGAACAGAUAAUAUCUGAAUGAUGUCAGAGUGGAGGCAGUGUUCAGCUAGAGACUAGGAUUAUUGCACAUUCUGAUCAUCAGGACAAGAUGAGCAGAUUUUAUGAAAUGUACAUUUAUUGGGUUAUAUAUAGAUAUAUUCCUGCAUGUGCUGCUUGUGGUACUUUAGGUGCAUGAAACUAGUGGAUUAAUCUUGGGAAGCUUUAAAAUUAUUCCUCCUAGAGGCCAGAGAGACAAUGUUCUCAUGUUUGGGUCUCCUCUGCUCCAGAAUCAGCUCAUGUCUCACAUCCCUCCUCCAGAAUCAUCUGACGUCUUCCUGCAGCUCCUGAAUCCAUCACUGAAGCUUCCUUCUGGUGUCCAAGUGACAAAGAUCUGCUCUGAAUGAGCUGAAGGCCUCCUGAAGUCUCCAGGCUUUACAGAUUCAAUGAAACAUGUUUAUCAUUAACUUCCAAUAAUUUUAUCAAUGGUUUUAUGGAUUAUUAUUAUUAUUAAGGGCUGUUUGGUGGUGGAUUUAAUAUCACUGUAGCUUUGCAGCAAGAAGGUCCUGGGAUCUUUUUGCAUGAAGUCUGUAUGUUCUCCCAGUUUUAGUGUGGGUUCUCUCUGGACCCAGCAAGAAGAAGCAGGUAAACACAAUGGAUGGAUGAGAAUAAGCUCUGAACAUAAACCCUAUACUUUCUGCCUCUUGUUUUUAUUACUUUUAAUAUUGUUUCUGGAGCAAUUUUAGCAUCUAUGUUUGUCUACAGUUGAUUUAUUCUACAGUCAAAUAAAGAACAAGAGGAAUACCAACGUUUUCCUGCAGUAUUCCUUCGUGUUGAACACCAGGGGGCGCUGUCUGCUUCUUUUGUCUUCUGCGGGAGUUUUU